rfam:Camelus ferus unplaced genomic scaffold scaffold1095, whole genome shotgun sequence.
GAGGUUAUAGCUCAGUGGUAGAGUGUCUGCUCAGCAUGCAGAAGGUCCUGGGUUCAACCCCCAGUCCCUCU